rnacentral:lncRNA from 1 species
CACAAAAGUAUUUGGCAGUCUGUGGGAAUCUACUUUAUCUAAUAUUUUCUGUACUUUACGUCAAAGUGCAAAGUGACGUUCGAAAAUGACAAGCGUUCCUCAAAAUUGCGUUCUCCAAGAAGCAAACAGGAUCGUAGGUAAGUCCCCGCCCAGUGACUCUCUCUGCUUUUCCUUUGCCCUCCCAUUGAGUGGUAAUUCUUCUCUCCAUAAACUUUUCUGCCUGCAUGCCCAUUAUUCCCGUUAUGGCAAGAGGACCGAGCUCAAUGCUAUCAUUACAUCUGUCUCGCUUUCGCAUUUACACUUUUCGCACUUUCACACUUGUUCCACUCCCGUUUAACAUUUCUCUGCGCUCACCUCCGCUCUCUCCGCUCUUGCGGUUUGCUCUCCCACGCUCGCUCUGCUCCCUGCUGCCCGCUCUCUGCUCGCUGUGUGCUUUUCGCACUUGCUAACCUUUCUGCUUGUUUGUGUGUGUGUGUGUGGUAAUAGAUCAAUGAGAUAAAAUAUAUUUUAUUAUGCACACAACAAAACAAAAGCCUCACGGCGCAAACCAACAUUCGACCAAAUAUUAUGUGAGAAUUAUGAGAGGGUCCUCCUAGUCCGUCCCUCCCCCUCCUCCGCUACGGCUCUCAAUUUUAAUUAUGCACUCGCAGUUAGUGCAGAAUUCGGGACUAUUCAAACAUUUUGCCGCUGGCCAGCGAACAAUUAAAAAGCGACGCGUGCUGCGCCCUGGAGGCCGGGGUCUGGGCUGUGUGGGCGUUAAACUUGUUGGCUUUUGCGAUUAUUUGAUGGGCAAAAGAGUAAUAAACAGCUGAAAGCGGCGAGAAAUUCCCUCCAUUGCAUUUGCCAAUUUUUGUACAAUCCACUGGCCAUGUGCCCUAAGCCUGAUUAGUUGCAAUUGAAUAAAAUUCAAAUUUUCAAAUAGAUUAAAUCGGCUGCCAGCGAAAGUAGUGCAGCAGCGGCACUGACAGUGCCAACAAUUUGUUUGCUGCCUGCAGCUUACACCUACACAUAAUCUCUUUAGGGAGAUCCUCAAUGGAGGUUUAAAUAUUUUCAACAUUUUUGCACAUUUUUUAAUGCAAAAAUUGAGUCACAAACUUGAGUCUCAAAUUAAUUGGUUCCUCAAAGACACAACUUUGGCAGCCGCUGAAUCAAGGGGGAAGCAGUUAAGAUAAAUAAACAAUACACAAAUACAGAGAAAUAAAAAAAUUAUAUUAAAAAAAACACGACUGAAAAAGAGACCGAAAAGCUGAAGCGAAAUGAUUUUCUAAGUAAGUGCAAAUUGCGUUUUAAUUAAAAUGUAAAAAUAAAAUACACACAGAACCAGGGACGGGCACAAAGACAGUGCCAGGGGGGGUGUAGGGGGUAUGAAGAUGGACAACGCAUGGGGGUUUUGUGUGGGCGUUGGCAACACUCACAAAUAUAAAAUAAAUAAAACAAAAGCACAAAAAAAAAGCGAACAAGAAAAAUAAUUAAAAUUUGGAAAAGUAAGUUGGAAAAUGUUUUCUCGCCUCUCUCGUCCUCAUCCUUGUCCUGUGACAUCUGCGCGAGUGUCGCUAACUGUUUGAGGAGGGACUGUACCCGGUACCUCUUGCCCUGUGGCAACUGGAACUGCCAUUUGCUUUCCCCCAGACGUGCCAAAGUAUUAACACUCUCUAAGCUUGCAAAAAGCGUAAAUGUCACAAUUCCAUUUACUUUUCGUAUUUAUAUUUUCUUCGACUGGCCAUGCCCACUUAAUGGCUGUCCCGCCCCCCACCGUCUGGUGUCCCUCCCUCUAUCAUUUCGCUGGCCUUAUCAGCAUAUCGCACAUUCCCCAGUGCCAUCCCUUCGUGCUCUCAACUGGCUUUCUCUCUAUUGCCCUGUGAAAAAUUAUUUGACAAACAGUUUUCCGCACGCGUUUUUCUUCGUCCCCUCCUGCCCCUCCGCUUUGGGUUCGACAUUUUUUUUUCUACUUAUUUUUCUUUCUUCUUUUUUUUUCUUUCGUGGCUUGGCAUAAAAAUGCAAACUUUUUAAUUGGGUUUUUGUGUGAUCGCAUUUGGGGCAAAGCUAUCGCCCAAGAGGAAGUCUGCAAAACCUGAAGGAGGAUUGGGGGGGGGGGGGGGGGGGGGGGGGGGGCACAGGGAUUGAACUGGUAAGUCGCAGGUCCGAUGCCGCCGAAAAAUCCGCGUUGAUGGCAGCCAUUUGACGCCGCUGACUGGCUGUGCGCCAAACAAUUUUAAGCCGCUUAGCUUGACCGAAAACUUCCUCACACUAAACAAGAUCCCACCAACACCCCAGCCAGCACCCAGCCAGCCCCAUUCUAAUGAAUUCAUGAACCAAAAAAAAACAAACCGAACAUUGUGCUCGCGGCACAAAUUAGCCAGGCUCAGCAAAUUUUUUGACAGCUUCACAGCAGCAUGACGGAGGGGGGCGGAUAAUCCUUGGUCAGGUGGGAGUUGGCGCGGGGCUUAUUCCAGGAAUAAUCCGGCAGUAACCUGCAGCCAAUUGUAGAGCCAAAUGUAUCGAAUUUUGAAGGUGAGUUUUUGGUCAGGAUUAUUUGGAAUGUAACUGGAGAGAGCUCUCGCCUUUGCUACCACUCAGGUGUAGGUGUGGAGUAAAAGAAAUCCAACUCAUGGCUGAUGGCCCGCUCAUAAAAGUAAUUGAACUUUGUGUAUUUAUUGAUUAAGCAAUUAGUUGAAAUUACACUAAGCACACAAAAGAUACGUAGAUACAUCUACACGCAGCUCAUGUCUGGCUGUCGAAGGUGUGUGUGUGUGUGUACACAAUUCGGAGUAACUGUGCCAGUGGCAAAGCUGCAACUGUAACUGUAACUGUAACUGUAACUCCACUCCCAGCCCUACUAUCAACAUCAUUGGGCUCCACUUUACCGUUCCAUUUGCCACGCUCUCUCUCUCUCUCUCUCUCUCUGCCACGUUCUCUCGCGCUCGCCCUCGCCCACUCUUUGCGUUUUGCGUGGCUCCCUGUGUAAAUAUCACACGCCACAUACGCAAUAUCUACACAGGGAGAUAUAGCUAUGGGUCUGACUGUGACUAUGGCCAUCGGUUUGCCUCUGACUCUGUCUACGGUUCUGCCUCUGCCUCUGCCUCUGACUCCGACUAUGGCCAUGUGCUAUUUAUGCCUGGCACACAUCGCAAACAGCAGACAGACUAACAAACUAAACCAGACCAGACUCGAGCAGACGAUGCCAAAGCCUCAAUGCCAGCGGGGGUGUCAAGUAACUUACUCAGAGUCCACAUAUUUUGCCGGAAAGCGCAUAACGAAUGGCUUACGAGUCAAGCUUGGGAUAUCCGCCAAGUAGCAGAGAUCCCAUGGUGUUUUAAUGGAAUAAAUGCAGCCAUUAAUGUACUCUAAUAUGCACAAAUAAACUCAUAAAUUUACCUGUUCGGAUACUGUUCGAAUGUUUACAACCACUAAAACACGAGAAUGCGAUUAAUAGACGAAGCAUAAACGAGCGAGGGCGAAUUCGCUCCAACGCAAUGACCAAUUCACGGCAGCAGCGCAGCAAAGCAAAAGCGAGCGUGGGCGAAUUCGCUCCAAUGCAAUGACCAAUUCACAAUAGCAAGAUCGUGCGUGGGCUUCAAUUCGCUUCAAUGCAACAGCAGCGCCGCAAAGCAAGAGCGGACGAAAGCGAAUUGAGAAGAGAGUAAUCCCAGACGCAGAGAGAAUUUAUUUCGUGUUUCAUCAGCUUCCAAUCCUAAGCAAUCUUUUAAUUCUAGCCUCAAUCCACGCAGAGUAUCCGCAAUUCGCUUUUGUGGCUUCAACUCCACGCUUUGCAUUCGCUGCUGUCGGCUUUAACGGGCGACGCUUUAAUUGCAGCCCCCUGGCAGUGGGACAGAGCAGCGGGUGGCCACCAUCAAAACCGGUCAAAAGUAAAGUCAAGCCAAGGCAGAGAGUCCUGUGUACUGUGUACUGUGUUCUGUGUCCUGUGAUGGCAUAGCUCGCUCCUGUAGUUGUACCUCUCCUGGAGCUUGGGCCUGGGCUUUGGCUUUGGCUUUGGCUCGCAUGUGUUGCCAUCGAUUUGGCCGUUUAACAUUUAUCGCCUCGUGCUCUGCAAAUUACUGCAAAAAGCGGAUGAGGGAGGGAGCGAGGGGAGGUGUAAGGCAGGGGGAGAUCAAUAUAUAUGUCCAGCAAUUUUGCACAUUUUCCACUGCGUGUCACCUGCGCAGCGCAGAUAAAUGGCCAAAGACUAUGGCGAGCAGGGGGCAAUGGCGCAAAGUGUUGCCAGUUGAGAAGGAUACUUAGGGCUUAGGUUGAGGGUGGUUAUCGGUGUGGGUGGGGGUGCCGCAAAAGUUUGUCCCCAGCCAACGGCAACGAUUUGUCGAUUUAUGUGCUGUGAAUUGAAAUGCAGCCAAGAAAAUUUCUCAUUCAACGAGCUAAUGCAAAACAAAUCGCUUGAAGGGACACGAGGCAGGGGAUUCGGGACGGUGUGGCACCUGUGUGCAGAAAGUCUCUUUAAAUGUGUGUGCAGAAAUGUGUGUGUGUGUGUGUGUGUGUGCUAAGCCAGUGUCUCUCUUGGGUUAUUAGAGCGCACCACUCCCCAACGCUUUGCCAUCGAUCUCAGCUGCUUGUUUUAUUAUCUCAAAGUGAAACAAAAGCAACAAAAACACAAAAAUAAAGCCAUGGAGAAAGAGAAUAACAAAAACAAAAGACAACAGGGAAAAUGGCGAAGCGAAGCUCUGAAGCGUUAGCGACAUUGUUGACCGUUAGCCAAGAGAGUAUCAGCGAGCAGGCAGCAACAACAACAGCAACAAGGGGUGGGGGAAGGGGAAAGGGAAGGGGAAGGGGAAGGGGAAGGGGGACAACAACUACCAUCCAAAGAGGAACAGUGUUUGACCCCAGCUGGUCCGUUGGCUGUCCAACUUGUCGCUGCGAUGAUUAAUGGCCACCAAACUGAUAAAUCAACUUUGUCGCUGUUGCUGUCACUGCACAAACACGCCGCAAAAUGCUGCGCCCCACACACACACACACACACACACACAGGCAUAGACACAGUGGAGGCUCCUUUUGGCACAUUCCUUGGACCCCCCGCUCGUUCAAGGCCUGGUCUAGAAAUUCGAUUCGUUUCAAUUCGUUGCGGCUCACUUGAGUUUUAGCUAAUGCUCAAUAUGCCACGCCCAUCCACGGCAUGCUACCAAAACCAGACACCUCUCACACCUCAGCCCAUCCACUUCCCCAGCCACAGCCAGCCAGGCAGCCAGGAACACCAGCAACAUAUGCAAACACGACCAUUUUGGCCCCCAACCCUUUGUCGCCUCUCUUGCUGCUCCGAUAAAUAUUCGCUUCGAUUCUCCAUUGUCCAUUGUCCACUGUCUACUGUCCACCGGUCUAACGGAAAUUAUUUUGCAGCUAAGCAAAGAACAAAGCGGAACCAACGGAUCAAAAUGACAAACUUUAAAGGACAUGGCAUUGUGUUUGCUUUUGUGUGUGGAACGAACAAAGUGAACCAAAUGGAGCCUGAUCGAGUUGAAUAGAUUUUGGGUCAUGCUAAACGGAGCUUGCUGAUCAAUAGAACGAAUUUUAUGAUGGAAAA